CGGACCACGAAGACCUGCAAAAUGUAAUGCCGCUAAAUCUAGCUUUUCGCGAAAAGUCGUCUACGAACAAAGAGCAGCCAUGGAAGCAAAAAAUAAAAUAAAGAAAAUAACACGGGUGCCGGGAAGCGAAACUCUCCGAGAAGGGGACGUUUGUUUGCUAUAAUUUUUGGAGACCGGGGACCGCUGCGGCGGGCAUAACUUUUUCAAGAAAGACACUCCUCUGACAAGGCAGCCUGUACAAUGUCAGUCAGGCCAGGCCUAACGAACACCGACCUCGGCGGCACCACUCGCGGCUCCUGCGCGUCCCUGGACUGCUCGUGUGGGGCUUUUGUGACCCGUGAGGACGCAUUUGGAUAUGCGGACUGUCCGGCCGGUUGGUGCUUGAUUUGUGGCCAUCCACCAGCACAGCACGGGACUUUAGUGAAAACAAUGUCGUUAAGGAGGCCAAUACGGCACUUAGAAGAGUGCAAUAUUCAUUGCUUGGGUCAACUUUGGCACAAAAAUACCCGGACAUGCUUUGGGACCGACCGAAACCUGGGACCAAGCUCUCAACGAGACAGACACGUCUCUGGAGUGUAUUCAUGUGCCGGUUAACAGCGAGGCGAAAGAUGAGGUACGCACGAGAAAAAAAAAACAAGGCGCAGGCA
rnacentral:misc_RNA from 1 species